UAGUUUAGGUUUCCCUCCAGAACAUAUUCAAAAUUUUAGACUUCUCAUAUCCCUAAACACAACCCUAACCCCCAAAUCUAACCUGCUUGCUCACAUCCUCUCUACCAAUCUUGAUCGGCUCCCAGAUCUUUGAACGGCCACUACAUCGUCGUGAACGGCUGACCUUUGAUCCUAAUUCAGCAAUCUGUUUUUCAGGGUAUAUCGAACAACGCCAUUCCUCCCUAAAAUUUAAGCUUUAGAAAUCUGUUUUUCAGUUAUGUGUAUGGGGAUGGAAGGUUCUUCGAAACAUUUCAAUUAAACGAUGAUAGCUGGAGACUGAAUCUUGUGGAAAGUUGUGUCAUUUAAUCAAUAUUUUCUGCUGGGUUUUGGUGGGGUGAUCUACAUGUACUGUUUCAAGAAAAAUCUUAUUCUGGUAAGCUAUGUAUUAAGGUCACUUCUCAAUCUUUUUUUGAACUCCCGAACACUUUCGGGGCACCCACUAGACCAAAUGGAGUACUCUGAGAGUAACCCGAGUCCAUCACCAAUUCCGUGGAAAACCUGGUAACCCACCUGCCCGUAGGCACGAUAGUGAAAUUACUGGUAAAACCCGUUUGACUCAAGGAUCAAACCCAGGUUUCCUUGGGUCUUCUAUCAUUGCUCACUAGUGCCUCACUAUGCACCAAGUGGUAGUUGAACCUACAUUUCCCAAAAGAAAUGCAAGCAUUCCACCACAUAAUUCGCAUCACUUCUCAAUCAAAGGUGUCUUAUAUCUCCGAGGAGCUUUGCAUAGGAUGUGAUGUAUAUGUUAAGAAAUACUCGUUUGAUGCAAUUGAGAUCAUCAAUUUACCAAAAGAUUUGGAUAAAGGACAAUGGCCAUGUAUGCUACAUGAAGUGGUGACAGUAUAAGGGUUAAACUCAACUGGGCCAACGCUAGGUUUCCAUGUUGGCCGGGAAGUACUGAAUGCGUCUACUAUGUUCAUGAAGGAGAUAGCUUACGAAUGAGUUGAAAUAUUUGAUGACAAUGUUGGGGGAAGGAGUAGAGGAAUACUCGUUUACGGAUACGGAUAGCAUUCGUGAUGAUUGGUCGACUUAUGCAGCUACCUCUAUUUUUAAGUGACAAGCCGUAUUUUAGGUGUCCAUGAAUGUAUUUACAAACAAUUUUUUGGUUAACGUUAAAAUAUUUGUAGUAUUUUUGACAAAUGAUUAUGUAAUAAAUUGUUUUGGUAUAUAUAUGUGUAUUUUUUUUUGAAAUA